UACAGAGGUCCCAAGCGUUGUUCGGAUUCCUUGGGCGUAAAGGGUGCGUAGGUGGCGCCGUAAGUCAGGUGUGAAAUCUCGGGGCUUAACUCCGAAACUGCAUUUGAUACUGCGGUGCUUGAGGACUGGAGAGGAGGCUGGAAUUUACGGUGUAGCGGUGAAAUGCGUAGAUAUCGUGAGGAAGACCAGUGGCGAAGGCGGGUCUCUGGACAGUUCCUGACGCUGAGGCGCGAAAGCCAGGGGAGCAAACGGG
rnacentral:rRNA from 1 species